rnacentral:rRNA from 1 species
GGCGGCACGCCUAACACAUGCAAGUCGAACGCAGUAGCAAUACUGAGUGGCAAACGGGUGAGUAUAAUGUGGGAAUCUGCCUUUUGGUUUGGAAUAACACGGGGAAACUUGUGCUAAUACCGAAUAAGCCUUUACAGGGAAAGUUUUAAUGCCGAAAGAUGAGCCUGCACUUGAUUAGCUAGUUGGUAAGGUAAAAGCUUACCAAGGCAACGAUCAAUAGCUGUUCUUAGAGGAAGACCAGCCACAUUGGGACUGAGACACGGCCCAGACUCCUACGGGAGGCAGCAGUGGGGAAUCUUGCACAAUGGGGGAAACCCUGAUGCAGCGAUGCCGCGUGAGUGAAGAAGGCCUUUGGGUUGUAAAACUCUUUCGUCGGGGAAGAAAAUGACUGUACCCGAAUAAGAAGGUCCGGCUAACUUCGUGCCAGCAGCCGCGGUAAUACGAAGGGACCUAGCGUAGUUCGGAAUUACUGGGCUUAAAGAGCUCGUAGGUGGUUAAAAAAGUUGAUGGUGAAAUCCCAAGGCUUAACCUUGGAACUGCCAUCAAAACUUUUUAGCUAGAGUGUGAUAGAGGUAAGUGGAAUUUCUAGUGUAGAGGUGAAAUUCGUAGAU